UGAGGAAUAUUGGUCAAUGGGCGAGAGCCUGAACCAGCCAAGUAGCGUGCAGGAUGACGGCCCUAUGGGUUGUAAACUGCUUUUGUAUGGGGAUAAAGUCAGUCACGUGUGAUUGUUUGCAGGUACCAUACGAAUAAGGACCGGCUAAUUCCGUGCCAGCAGCCGCGGUAAUACGGAAGGUCCGGGCGUUAUCCGGAUUUAUUGGGUUUAAAGGGAGCGUAGGCUGGAGAUUAAGUGUGUUGUGAAAUGUAGACGCUCAACGUCUGACUUGCAGCGCAUACUGGUUUCCUUGAGUACGCACAACGUUGGCGGAAUUCGUCGUGUAGCGGUGAAAUGCUUAGAUAUGACGAAGAACUCCGAUUGCGAAGGCAGCUGACGGGAGCGCAACUGACGCUGAAGCUCGAAGGUGCGGGUAUCGAACAGGAUUAGAUACCCUGGUAGUCCGCACAGUAAACGAUGGAUGCCCGCUGUUGGUACCUGGUAUCAGCGGCUAAGCGAAAGCAUUAAGCAUCCCACCUGGGGAGUACGCCGGCAACGGU
rnacentral:rRNA from 1 species